rnacentral:tRNA from 1 species
GGGGGUAUAGUAUAGCAGGUAAAUUACAAGGACUUCUAAUCCUAUGACCUCAGUUCAAAUCUGGGUACCUCUA